GCCAGUGUAGCUCAGUGGUUUGAGUGUUGGACUGUGACUCUAGAAACCAGGGUUCAGUUCCCAGCUUCGCCA